CAACAUGACUCUCGGCAACGGAUAUCUCGGCUCUCGCAUCGAUGAAGAACGUAGCAAAAUGCGAUACCUGGUGUGAAUUGCAGAAUCCCGUGAACCAUCGAGUUUUUGAACGCAAGUUGCGCCCGAAGCCUUCUGGUUGAGGGCACGUCUGCCUGGGCGUCACG
rnacentral:rRNA from 2 species